UCUGCCCAGUGCUCUGAAUGUCAACGUGAAGAAAUUCAAAAAAGUGCGGGUAAACGGCAGCGGGAGUAACUAUGACUCUCUUAAGGUUUCUACAGGCCUUGUCAUUGUAUUUGUGACGUUAUUAAAGG
rnacentral:rRNA from 13 species